GUAGCAGCAGUAGUAAGUAGGGUAGCUGCGUAAUUGAUUACCCGCUUGAGAGAAAGGCUGAAAAAACCUUUUGAAACUACAUCUCUCUGUUGACUCCACUCCUUCGUUUUCUGCGGUUGCCCAAAGACUGCAGGUGCAGAAAGUUAAUAGAUCCUUUUUCAAUUGAAAGAGGAUGGGAAAGAAAGAAGCAUAGAACUUCUGACCAAGCCAUCAAAUGAAGAGCUAAAACCACAUGCAAUGAGGCCAACACCUACAAUCGGCUAAUCACUGUGAAUGUAAGUUGUAUGGAUUGUACAGGUUUAGAAAACAAGUCAACUCUUUAGGGACUCCAUGUUCUCCAUACUUGGACUUGCCUUCAACUCUAGACUAGAAUUGUAAGUUUGUAGGCCCUUGGGGAAGGGAAAGCCAAAAGAAAGUUGAGUUUCUUGAGUAUUGACCAGCCUGAAGUUCUUUCUCUUCCUUAAGGAAUUCUCAAUACACAGUAGCUCUUGGAAUUGGAAAUCUUUGAACAUAUUCCUUGGUGAGGUGGGUCCAGCAGA